UACGAAGGGGCUAGCGUUGCUCGGAAUCACUGGCGUAAAGCGCACGUAGGCGGCUUUUAAGUCAGGGUGAAAUCCGUGGAGCUCAACUCCAGACUGCCUUUGAUACUGAGAGCUUGAGUCCGGGAGAGGUGAGUGGAACUGCGAGUGUAGAGGUGAAAUUCGUAGAUAUUCGCAAGAACACCAGUGGCGAAGGCGGCUCACUGGCCCGGUACUGACGCUGAGGUGCGAAAGCGUGGGAGCAACAGG
rnacentral:rRNA from 1 species